GCCAAUAAGUUAAACGGCGGUUUAAAUGGAGACUUUCCAGACUCUGAUUUAACUCAAAAUGAAAAGACUAGUUGCAAAUUUGAAAGACUUUUGGUUCCAUUUGCCUUGUGUGAUCAUUAAACAGGAAGAGCAAACUAGGAGAGAAGAUCCUUACCCAGAAUUCGGCUGGCUUCGCUGCGGCUACUUUCUGGAGUCUGAGACCCCAGCUCUGUCUUAGCAUAGGAGCUCAGCUGGCACAAGAGUGUUUCACCCAUAGGCCCUGGAUUAGUCUUCUUCAUUUGAGCAUGAAGUGCCAGGGCAUUCCUACGGGCAUGUUCAGCACAGAAAGACACCCUAAGAAGACAAAAUAUUAACAUUUUAUACUCAGGUCCCUUCUUGAAAGAGUUCUACCAUUUUCACUGUCACUAAUCUUUAGAUCAUUUUAGGAAAUUAAAAUUACUAUUACCUUCAUUUAUAAAUUAAAAAGGCCAGUGAAGCAGAGUAA